rnacentral:rRNA from 1 species
AACGCGAAGAACCUUACCUGGGCUCGAACGGCUGGUUAACGAUCGUGGAAACACGGUUACUCCGCAAGGGGAUCCAGUCGAGGUGCUGCAUGGCUGUCGUCAGCUCGUGUCGUGAGAUGUUGGGUUAAGUCCCGCAACGAGCGCAACCCUUGUCCUGUGUUGCCAUGCCGAAAGGCGGAACUCGCAGGAGACCGCCAGCGAUAAGCUGGAGGAAGGUGGGGAUGACGUCAAGUCCUCAUGGCCUUUAUGUCCAGGGCUACACACGUGCUACAAUGGCCGGUACAAAGCGCUGCUAAGUCGCAAGACGGAGCCAAUCGCAAAAAACCGGUCUCAGUUCGGAUUGCAGGCUGCAACUCGCCUGCAUGAAGCUGGAAUCGCUAGUAAUGGCGGAUCAGAACGCCGCCGUGAAUACGUUCCCGGGCCUUGUACACACCGAUAGC